rnacentral:rRNA from 1 species
UGCCAGCCGCCGCGGUAAUACGAAGGUCCCAAGCGUUGUCCGGAUUUAUUGGGCGUAAAGAGUUCGUAGGUGGUUGAAAAAGUUGGUGGUGAAAUCCCAGAGCUUAACUCUGGAACUGCCAUCAAAACUUUUCAGCUAGAGUUUGAUAGAGGAAAGCAGAAUUUCUAGUGUAGAGGUGAAAUUCGUAGAUAUUAGAAAGAAUACCAAUUGCGAAGGCAGCUUUCUGGAUCAUUACUGACACUGAGGAACGAAAGCAUGGGUAGCGAAGAGGAUUAGAUA